rnacentral:rRNA from 1 species
AUUGAACGCUGGCGGCAGGCCUAACACAUGCAAGUCGAGCGGCAGCGGGAAAGUAGCUUGCUACUUUUGCCGGCGAGCGGCGGACGGGUGAGUAAUGCCUGGGAAAUUGCCCAGUCGAGGGGGAUAACAGUUGGAAACGACUGCUAAUACCGCAUACGCCCUACGGGGGAAAGCAGGGGACCUUCGGGCCUUGCGCGAUCGGAUAUGCCCAGGUGGGAUUAGCUAGUUGGUGAGGUAAUGGCUCACCAAGGCGGCGAUCCCUAGCUGGUCUGAGAGGAUGAUCAGCCACACUGGAACUGAGACACGGUCCAGACUCCUACGGGAGGCAGCAGUGGGGAAUAUUGCACAAUGGGGGAAACCCUGAUGCAGCCAUGCCGCGUGUGUGAAGAAGGCCUUCGGGUUGUAAAGCACUUUCAGCGAGGAGGAAAGGUUGUAGGCUAAUAUCCAACAGCUGUGACGUUACUCGCAGAAGAAGCACCGGCUAACUCCGUGCCAGCCGCCGCCGUAAAAC